UAGGAACGCUAAUACCGCAUACGUCCUACGGGAGAAAGCAGGGGACCUUCGGGCCUUGCGCUAUCAGAUGAGCCUAGGUCGGAUUAGCUAGUUGGUGGGGUAAAGGCCUACCAAGGCGACGAUCCGUAACUGGUCUGAGAGGAUGAUCAGUCACACUGGAACUGAGACACGGUCCAGACUCCUACGGGAGGCAGCAGUGGGGAAUAUUGGACAAUGGGCGAAAGCCUGAUCCAGCCAUGCCGCGUGUGUGAAGAAGGUCUUCGGAUUGUAAAGCACUUUAAGUUGGGAGGAAGGGCAGUAAGUUAAUACCUUGCUGUUUUGACGUUACCAACAGAAUAAGCACCGGCUAACUUCGUGCCAGCAGCCGCGGUAAUACGAAGGGUGCAAGCGUUAAUCGGAAUUACUGGGCGUAAAGCGCGCGUAGGUGGUUUGGUAAGAUGGAUGUGAAAUCCCCGGGCUCAACCUGNGAACUGCAUCCAUAACUGCCUGACUANAGUACGGUAGAGGGUGGUGGAAUUUCCUGUGUAGCGGUGAAAUGCGUAGAUAUAGGAAGGAACACCAGUGGCGAAGGCGACCACCUGGACUGAUACUGACACUGAGGUGCGAAAGCGUGGGGAGCAAACAGG
rnacentral:rRNA from 1 species